AGGCUUAACACAUGCAAGUCGAGGGGCAGCACAGGUAGCAAUACCGGGUGGCGACCGGCGCACGGGUGAGUAACGCGUAUGCAACUUGCCUAUCAGAGGGGGAUAACCCGGCGAAAGUCGGACUAAUACCGCAUGAAGCAUGGAUCCCGCAUGGGAAUAUUUGCUAAAGAUUCAUCGCUGAUAGAUAGGCAUGCGUUCCAUUAGGCAGUUGGCGGGGUAACGGCCCACCGAACCGACGAUGGAUAGCGGUUCUGAGAGGAAGGUCCCCCACAUUGGUACUGAGACACGGACCAUACUCCUACGGGAGGCAGCCGUGAGGAAUAUUGGUCAAUGGCCGAUAGGCUGAACCAGCCAAGUCGCGUGAGGGAUGAAGGUUCUAUGGAUCGUAAACCUCUUUUAUAAGGGAAUCAUGUGCGGGACGUGUCCCGCUUUGUAUGUACCUUAUGAAUAAGGAUCGACUAACUCCGUGCCAGCAGCCGCGGUAAUACGGAGGAGCCGAGCGUUAUCCGGAUUUAUUGGGUUUAAAGGGUGCGUAGGCGGCCUUUUAAGUCAGCGGUGAAAGUCUGUGGCUCAACCAUAGAAUUGCCGUUGAAACUGGGGGGCUUGAGUAUGUUUGAGGCAGGCGGAAUGCGUGGUGUAGCGGUGAAAUGCAUAGAUAUCACGCAGAACCCCGAUUGCGAAGGCAGCCUGCCGAGCCAUUACUGACGCUGAUGCACGAAAGCGUGGGGAUCAAACAGGAUUAGAUACCCUGGUAGUCCACGCAGUAAACGAUGAUCACUAGCUGUUUGCGAUACACUGUAAGCGGCACAGCGAAAGCGUUAAGUGAUCCACCUGGGGAGUACGCCGGCAACGGUGAAACUCAAAGGAAUUGACGGGGGCCCGCACAAGCGGAGGAACAUGUGGUUUAAUUCGAUGAUACGCGAGGAACCUUACCCGGGUUUGAACGCAUUCGGACCGAGGUGGAAACACCUUUUCUAGCAAUAGCCGUUUGCGAGGUGCUGCAUGGUUGUCGUCAGCUCGUGCCGUGAGGUGUCGGCUUAAGUGCCAUAACGAGCGCAACCCUUGCCACUAGUUACUAACAGGUAAAGCUGAGGACUCUGGUGGGACUGCCAGCGUAAGCUGCGAGGAAGGCGGGGAUGACGUCAAAUCAGCACGGCCCUUACAUCCGGGGCGACACACGUGUUACAAUGGCGUGGACAAAGGGAGGCCACCUGGCGACAGGGAGCGAAUCCCCAAACCACGUCUCAGUUCGGAUCGGAGUCUGCAACCCGACUCCGUGAAGCUGGAUUCGCUAGUAAUCGCGCAUCAGCCAUGGCGCGGUGAAUACGUUCCCGGGCCUUGUACACACCGCCCGUCAAGCCAUGGGAGCCGGGGGUACCUGAAGUCCGUAACCGCGAGGAUCGGCCUAGGGUAAAACUGGUGACUGGGGCUAA
rnacentral:rRNA from 1 species